CACGUAGGGCGCGAGCGUUGUCCGGAAUUAUUGGGCGUAAAGAGCUCGUAGGCGGUGUGUCACGUCGGCCGUGAAAACUUGGGGCUCAACCCCAAGCCUGCGGUCGAUACGGGCAGGCUCGAGUUCGGUAGGGGAGACUGGAAUUCCUGGUGUAGCGGUGAAAUGCGCAGAUAUCAGGAGGAACACCGAUGGCGAAGGCAGGUCUCUGGGCCGAUACUGACGCUGAGGAGCGAAAGCGUGGGGAGCGAACAGG
rnacentral:rRNA from 1 species